rnacentral:misc_RNA from 1 species
UGACUGGAAUAUGAUUACUAAUCUCACAUAAAAUUCUCCCAUUACAGGGAUUUCUGAUGGUGGACUUAAACAUUUAUUACAAAAUUUAAAGUCAUAUUAGCUCAGUAAAACAUUGAACUCACCAAAACUUUCCAAGGUUUGCUUCUAAUAUGAGCAACUCAUGCUUCUAUCAUUUCAACUGACAUUGUGAUAUGAAUCAACAAUUGCAUCUGCAAGGUAUUCACAUUUGGCCAAAUUCAAUCCAGCCAGGGAAAUCCUUCCAUCCUUUGUCAUGUAAACAUGCCACUUAUUGGUCAUAUUCUCGCUCUGAGCUUUGUUCAAUCCUGUGAAGGAGAACAUGCCAAUCUGCUUUAAUAUAAAAGACCAAUCCUUCCCACUCUUAUCUUUUGCAGAAAGACUAUCAAAUAAUUUCUGUCUAACACCUUUUAUCCUUCCAGCCAUCAUGUCCAUCUCUGCUUUCCAUUCAUCGAAGAGAGUUGGAUCCCCAACAACAUUGGCAACAAUCCUAGCCCCAUGUACAGGAGGAUUUGAGUACAUUGGUCGUGCAAGCCUUUUCAGCUGGCUCUUAACCCUUGCUGCGGCAUCUACUGAUGAGCAGAUGACAUUGAUUGCCCCAAUUCUUUCUGCAUAUAGACCCAAGUUUUUACUGUAUGACUGAGCUACCAGAAGCUCCAUUCCACGUGCAGCAAACAACCUCACUGAUGCUGCAUCUGCAUCAAGGCUUCCACUAGCAAAUCCCUGGUAUGCAACAUCAAAAAAUGGAAUGUGGUUCUUCUCUUGAAUGACAUCGGCAAUUUUUUCCCACUGUUCAGGGGUUGGAUCUAUACCAGUUGGGUUGUGAGCACAGCCAUGAAGCAAAAUAAAUGAUCCUUCAGGGGCUGCCUUUAGGUCUGCUAUCAUUCCCUCAAAAUCCAACCCAACUGUUUUGGGAUCAUAGUAUCUGUACUCAGACCAAGGGACUCUAGCAUCAUUGAAAAUAUUCUUGUGAUUACCCCAAGUUGGAGAUGAUAUCAGGACUUUUGCCCCUGGAAAAUAUCGCUCAAUGAGAGCCGCAGCUAAACGAAGAGAACCAGUGCCUGAAAGACCUUGGACUGUUGCAACUCUUUGUUGCUUUAUCACUGUGUUGUCUGCUCCAAGUAAUAACUCUGCAGUCACCUUAUUGAAUGCAGCCAAACCUUCUAUGGGAAGAUACUCUUUAUAUUCACCCCUCUCGAGCAUAAGAUUCUCAGCCUUCUUAACAACAUUAAGAACAUAAGGCUGUAGCUCUUCAGUUCGGUAGGCCCCAACUCCAAGAUUGAGUUUCUUUUCAUCAUUGUCUGCUUUAAAAGCUUCAGAAACUCCAAGAAUUGGAUCAGGGGGGGCCAUUGUUAUACCCUCAAAACGAGAAACAUUGACUGCAACAGCCAUAGAUAUCCUGCCUGAAGACUUAGUGUUUAUAAAGGGAUUGGAUUUCUCCUUGUGAAACCACGCAGUCAAAUUGCCACUUCCAAGCCUCACCUUUCCCUUGAGAGUGUCAUGCAUAGAAAGCGAAGCAGAAGGAGAAGCGGAAGCUAAAGAAAGCAUUGAAGAAGCCAUAUCCGAAUCAAAUUGACACAGUUGAGCUGAGAGCAAUUAGAUUUUGUAUCCAAGUUUGGGUGAUCUGUGAAAAUUGGUGAUUAGGAUUGAGGAGUCAAGAAAUGAAGAAUGAUGUAAUGGAGUGAACUAAUUUAACCUGAGAACGGUUGAAAUUGAGAUGGGAUGAGACCGAGGAAAUAAGAAGGUUCAGUGGGCGAUGGCUCCAAUGGGUUAAGUUCGUUAAAG